rnacentral:rRNA from 1 species
ACGCUCGACACCUACGGAGGCAGCAGUGGGGAAUAUUGGGCAAUGGGCGAAAGCCUGACCCAGCAACGCCGCGUGAAGGAAGAAGGCUUUCGGGUUGUAAACUUCUUUUAUCAGGGACGAAGGAUGUGACGGUACCUGAUGAAUAAGCCACGGCUAACUACGUGCCUGCAGCCGCGGUAAUCUGAGCGGGCUGGCGAAGGC